rnacentral:snoRNA from 10 species
GUUGCUCUGCCGUGCCUGUGACCUCGGGGCAAAGAGGAAGUGGCGAUUUCUACACUCAUUGCCCGGGAACCAGUGGGCACUGAGAAUGGUUUAUGGCCUGACAUG